AAUAGGGGCUAUGACACAUCAAGGGAACUGCAGCCUUCUGUUCAGAUGUAUUACAUGGAAAUAGGGGCUAUGACACAUCAAGGGAACUGCAGCCUUCUGUUCAGAUGUAUUACAUGGACAUGGGGCUAUGGCACAUCAAGGGAACUGCAGCCUUCUGUUCAGAUGUAUUACAUGGAAAUAGGGGCUAUGGCACAUCAAGGGAACUGCAGCCUUCUGUUCAGAUGUAUUACUAUGACAUCUGUUGACAUGGAAACGGAAAUCUGUUGGUUGAACACCAGAACUCCAGAACUCCAGAACUCCAGAACAGGGCCUCAUCAUCACCACUACUAAGGAAGAAGUCCUCCAGAAACAGCUGCUGUCACUAUAAACUGUAAAGUCCAGCUGUUUCUGACACUGGCCUCCCUCUGUGAAGCACGAAGGUUUGAUCUUCCUGUCAGUCACAAUCAAAUCAUCACCAAGACGAGGGAAGAAGUCCUCAGAAAAAGCUGUCACACCCCCCAAAUGAAAUGGCUGUUUGUGUGUAUAGUUGUCUGUUCAACACUCUUGGCGCCUGUAGAAGGUCACAGUGAGGCUGUCAAUGAGAGCAGUACCUUGGUCACCACACUGUAGCUGGUCCUGAUCCCCCUCAACUCCAUGGUCACCACACUGUAGCUGGUCCUGAUCCCCCUCAACUCCAUGGUCACCACACUGUAGCUGGUCCUGAUCCCCCUCAACUCCAUGGUCACCACACUGUAGCUGGUCCUGAUCCCCUUCAACUCCAUGGUCACCACACUGUAGCUGGUCCUGAUCCCCCUCAACUCCAUGGUCACCACACUGUAGCUGGUCCUGAUCCCCCUCAACUCCAUGGUCACCACAUUAGCUGGUCCUGAUCCCCCUCAACUCCAUGGUCACCACACUAGCUGGUCCUGAUCCCCCUCAACUCCAUGGUCACCACACUGUAGCUGGUCCUGAUCCCCCUCAACUCCAUGGUCACCACACUGUAGCUGGUCCUGAUCCCCCUCAACUCCAUGGUCACCACACUGUAUCUGGUCCUGAUCCCCCUCAACUCCAUGGUCACCACACUGUAGCUGGUCCUGAUCCCCCUCAACUCCAUGGGUCACCACAAUGUAGCUGGUCCUGAUCCCCCUCAACUCCAUGGUCACCACACUGUAGCUGGUCCUGAUCCCCCUCAACUCCAUGGUCACCACACUGUAGCUGGUCCUGAUGCCCCUCAACUCCAUGGGUCACCACACUAGCUGGUCCUGAUCCCCCUCAACUCCAUGGUCACCACACUAGCUGGUCCUGAUCCCCCUCAACUCCAUGGUCACCACACUAGCUGGUCCUGAUCCCCCUUCAACCAUUAGACCAGAGGGUGGAGGCUGCAGCAAAUAGCUGAUGGACACACAGUCUGAAAGCUCUGUGGAGGAAUGGAAACACACACACACACACACACACACACACACACUGAUUAAACAGUGCAGAGUCAUACUGCAGUAAACAUUCAGAAACACCAGUGAAGGGGCCUCCCGAGUAGUAUUGCAGUGCUGGCUGUGCCACCUAAGAUUCUGGGUUCGAGUCCAGGAUCUGUCGCAGCCGGGCCGCGACCGGGAGACCCAUGGCGCGGCGCACAAUUGGCUCAGCGUCGUCCAGGUUAGGAGUGGGGUUUGGCUGGCAGGGAUGUUCUUGUCCCAUCAUGCACUAGCGACUCCUGUGGCGGGCCGGGAGCAGUGUAUGCUGACACAGUCGCCAGGUGUUUCCUCCGACACAUUGGUGCAGCUGGCUUCCAGGUUAAGUGGGCAUUGUGUCAAGAAGCAGUGCGACUUGGUUGGGUAGUGUUUUCAGAGGAUGCACGGCUCUCGACCUUCGCCUCUCCUGAGUUAGUACGGAGAUACAGCGAUGGGACAAGACUGUAACUACCAAUUUGGAUACCAGGAAAAAGGGGAAAAAAAAACCCACUAGAGAGAAACAUCACUCACUAUAAACUGUGAUGUCCAGCUGUUUCUGACACUGGCCUCCCUCUGUGAAGCAUGUAGGUUUGAUAUUCCUGUCAGUCAAAUCAAAUCACAUUU